AAGUCGUAACAAGGUUUCCGUAGGUGAACCUGCGGAAGGAUCAUUAACACGAACUAUCCACUAUCCCAACCAAACGUGAACUUUUCCCCUCCCUAUUGCUUGACUGCAGUACAAGCUGCGGGUCUUGCAGUAGGCUAAACUGUUUUCUACAAGUACAACCCCAUACAAACUACAACUAUGGUCUUGACUUUAACCGGUCAUUACCACUUCAACCAAUCGAACAUGACUGGUCCACGUUGACUCGGUCUGUUCUGUUCUAUACAUGAACUGAAAAGAGAAAAUACAACUCUUAACAAUGGAUAUCUUGGUUCUC
rnacentral:misc_RNA from 1 species